GGGACUCUGAGGGCAGACGCAGCAGCCGGACUCAGCGGACCUUCUGUGGGCACAGAGUUGUUGGCUGGGGCAACUCUUAAUCACCUCCCCCAGUUACUGCCUGAAGCCCCUUCUGCCUUCAAUAUGCGCCUCCUCCUUUACCCCUCACAGCCGCCCCGAGGUCAGUUUCCUUAUGAUUCCCGCUUUAGAGAUAAAGAAACUGAGGCUAGAGGGGUCAUGUCCAAGGUCGUACAGCCCUGAACAUGAAGCAGGCAGGAAUUAUUGGCACAUCAUGGUGACGGCGAGGCCCGCGCUGUUACAAGAAUGUCUGACGGGUUUAUAACACGCUUUUAUCACAAGCCACAGCUGUUGAACUGAUUUCUGAUGAGGUUUCGUGACUUCCCAUCAUGUGUAACGCUGCACAGGACCCCUCCGUUGGGGGCAUACCACAGAAGCAGGAAGCCAAGCCAGACCCUCCCGCGGGAGCCUUGGGAUGCAGAUCCCCAGGCCUCUGCUGUGCACAGGGUGCGACAGAUCCUAAGAGGAGCCCGGCAGUGAGCGCUCUCAACCUCCCCAGGAGCAUCGACGGGCACCCCAACUUUGUGCCUAGAGCCUGUUUGAGGUUGAUUAUGCAAUUCUGGGGGUCACCUCAAUUCUAGGAACAGGUGGGGCAUGAUUGGAUCAUGAGUGUCCCCUGCCCUUUAAAGAGGGCCAUGGCAUGGCCAGUCUCAUUACCCCGGCUUGACAAAGCUUUUUUUUCCUUUUUUGGUACCCGGAAUUGAAUCCAGGGGUGCUUAAACCAUGCACCCACAUCCCCAGCCCUUUUUUUUUUUUUCGAGACAGAGUCUCACUAGGUUCCUUUCAGCUUUGCUAAAUCCCUGAGGCUGGCCUCCAACCUGCAAUCCUCCUGCCUCAGCCUCCUGAGUCACUGGGAUUCCAGGAUGCACUACAGCACCUGGGUAGGAAUCUACUUUUUAAAAGUUCCCCCAGAUUCUGGUCCUGAGCAGUCAUCACAGGGAACAGCUGCCCUCCAGCAUCUAUUUAGCACAGCUUGGAACACCUGCACCGUUCUUAGACUAUUUGUUCUUUAAUGAUUGAUGACUCAAUCUAGCGGCUGUGCACAUUUCCCCGGGCCAGUCACACCUGCUUGGAAGCUGGAACUGCAGCCACACGGGCUCAGGCUGUAGGAAGGGGAGAACCCUCCCUUUCCAUGACCUCCCUGAGCAGGGUGCCUAGGGCACAGGGGGCCGCCUGGUGGGAGACCCUGGUGGGCCCUCCUCUUGGUGGCCUCCGGGGGUCCUCCCCAUUCUGUUCUCAGCAGUGGCCGGGUAGCAGCCUGCUCACCAUGGGGCUCCAGCUGCCUCUCCAGGAUCAGCAGUGACUCAGCACCAGGGGUUGCCACUCACUCUAGGAAGCCACUCGGGCAGGGUCUGCGCCAGCCUUCCUGUCUUGCAUGCUAAGUCAAGGGUGUCUGCUCCAUAUGGUGACGCAUAAUUUACAGUGCCAUUGACUUCCUGCUUAGGUAGCCUAUUCUGUACAAAGCUUCCAUUUGCAUAUUUAUUAAUUUACAAAAUUAAUGCCAUUUUCUUAGUCCCUUACAGGAUGUGAUGCUGGUCCCUGUCUUUGAAUUAAUUUUAAUCUAAGGUGGAAACAUUUGUU
rnacentral:lncRNA from 1 species